GGGAGGAGGAGGAGGAGGAGGAAGAGCGGGGCCGGGCGGGCAGCUUCUCUGUCCCGUAAGCAAUAAGCCAGGAAGUUAUCCUGCAUUCAGAGCUGUUAAGAUUCCUUAAACAUCGCAUGGAACUGAUGGCUUCUUUCCUUGGGAACAUCUGGGCACAGCUGGAGAGGAAAAGUUCCAGAGACUGAUGCGUGUAGGAGAAGAAUGGAAGCAGGAGCCUGGAGCCUGCUGGGAAAGCAGAGAGACUUCUAAGAGGAGCAGGAAACAUCUGUAGAUUUUAGAUGACGAUCAGAGGAUGAAAGAAGAGGAAGCAGUCUUUUGGGACUCUUGCAUAACACAGCCGGAUGAGAAAUAGAAAUGUCAGAGAUCCUCAAAUCUAAGGAAGGAUUCGAUUUUCUAUGCAGAUAUCUGACUUGGCUCUGCUCGCACAAAGGCCAAAACUGGGAGUAUCGGGCAGCAACGCUGUUGCAAGAGCUGGAACAAGCUGCAUGUAAGCCAAGGCAAGGCUUGGAGAAGUACACGGUACUUGUGAGGCUGUCUCUACCAUUUGCAGGGAAGUGAUAACGCUGUGCGGCUUGAAUUGCUUUUGUUUGAGGACAACCCUUGUUGCUCCAGGAGGUUACUGCACCCAAAGGACUGCAAAGAGCUUUUCACAACAGCUGGUUGCAGACCAGAACAUAUGGGGGAUCCUCAGAUUUCAUUCAACAGGACCAUUUUCAUGGUAUAUUGUCUAGAUCUCAUUAUUUGCACACAAAAGUCAUGUUUUAGCUAUUUUGAGACACAGUGGUAUAAUCAGGUCUUGUGUUACUAAGAUUUUUUUUUAAUGAAA